CUUCCCAGAUAGGAAAGCAAAGUAAGUGCCGAACGAAACGUGUGCCAAAAUCGCGCUUGGCAGGCACAAAAGGAAAAACCAAGUGAACCAACUAACUAGUUAGUUAGUUAGCUCCGAAUCCUCUGGAUUAAGUACUGCAUCGCGAAUAUUCGCGAUUCAAUAUGAUCGCCCCCCGUUUGUUUCAGAAGCCAUGUGCGUUGCGUGCAACCCCUUGCUUAACUAACUAAGCCUCAGCUAAGGUAACUUAGCUAGUCAAUGCUAGCUAACUAGUUAGUUAGCACGUCACUACUGUAGUACGAGUACGACUAACUCAGCUAUGUACGGAGACUAGUAGCAAAAUGAAGUACAAAUGAUAGCAACAUGCGCCACAUGGUCAUUGACCUUCCCGUCUCGUCCUAAGGCAGUUCGCUUAGCGUGGAGUACUACGGUGGUAGUACGGCAGUACUAUCCCUUGUCCGUCGGGGCAGGCGAAACUGGUAAUUUCGCGGGUAUUUAUCAUGUACGGAGUAU
rnacentral:lncRNA from 1 species